UAGGGAAUCUUCGGCAAUGGGGGGAACCCUGACCGAGCAACGCCGCGUGAGUGAAGAAGGUUUUCGGAUCGUAAAGCUCUGUUGUUAAGGAAGAACGAGUGUGAGAAUGGAAAGUUCAUACUGUGACGGUACUUAACCAGAAAGCCACGGCUAACUACGUGCCAGCAGCCGCGGUAAUACGUAGGUGGCAAGCGUUGUCCGGAUUUAUUGGGCGUAAAGCGAGCGCAGGCGGUCAAUUAAGUCUGAUGUGAAAGCCCCCGGCUCAACCGGGGAGGGUCAUUGGAAACUGGUGGACUUGAGUGCAGAAGAGGAGAGUGGAAUUCCAUGUGUAGCGGUGAAAUGCGUAGAUAUAUGGAGGAACACCAGUGGCGAAGGCGACUCUCUGGUCUGUAACUGACGCUGAGGCUCGAAAGCGUGGGUAGCAAACAGG
rnacentral:rRNA from 1 species